rnacentral:rRNA from 1 species
GAUGAACGCUGGCGGCGUGCCUAACACAUGCAAGUCGAGCGAGAUGUAUAUGGACGAAACUUCGGUCUAGGAAAUAUAUUGAUAGCGGCGGACGGGUGAGUAACGCGUAGGCAACCUGCCCUUAACACAGGGAUAGCCUCGGGAAACCGGGAUUAAAACCUGAUAAUGCCAAAUAGUCACAUGGCUGUUUGGCCAAAGAUUUAUCGGUUAAGGAUGGGCCUGCGUCUGAUUAGUUUGUUGGUGGGGUAACGGCCUACCAAGACUACGAUCAGUAGCCGACCUGAGAGGGUGAUCGGCCACAUUGGAACUGAGACACGGUCCAAACUCCUACGGGAGGCAGCAGUGGGGAAUAUUGCACAAUGGGCGAAAGCCUGAUGCAGCAACGCCGCGUGAGCGAUGAAGGCCUUUGGGUCGUAAAGCUCUGUCCUUGGGGAAGAAAAAAAUGACGGUACCCAAGGAGGAAGCCCCGGCUAACUACGUGCCAGCCGCCGCCGUAA